rnacentral:lncRNA from 1 species
UUUCAGUCCAUGUGGUUCUAGGAAAAUUGCCCCAUUCCCUGGGUACAGGUCUGAGGUGACCUGAUAUAGGCCUGGCCAAAUAGAACAUCUGGUACCCCUCAGCCACAUGAUUGGAACAUGGAUGAGUAAGGCCCAGUAUUUUUGGCUGGAAUGACUGGGAAAGAGAUAUUACAAAGACAUCAGUUCUCUCCAAAUUAAUUUAUGGAUUUAAUAUAAUUUUAAUCAAAAUCCCAGAGGAUUUAAGAAUGA